GGAUUAUUAACCAGUAUUAUUAUAGCGGCAUUGAGCGAGCGACGAUUACGAUGUAAUAUACUAACUCUGUAUUCUGUGCUUAGAGCGAUUUUCAAUAUAUCCGACUAUCAUAAGUAUUCACUCAUCUCGUCAUUAAAUAGAUCAACACGUUUGAUAUCCACCAUAUAUCCAACAUAUGAUUUAUGAUCCAUAAAAUGCAGUAGGAGUACAAAAUUAUGCACUUGCGUACAAUGAUGGUUGACCAAUUCGUGCCACACCUGAAGCUUCUAAACGUGCAGCGUCUCGACGAGGAAGAGAAAUCGUACAUGCAGUAACGCAGAAACGUCAGCAAAGAAUCUUGCAAACUCUCGAAGAACUUUCGCUCGAACUACCGUGGAUCAAUACCUCACAGCUCGAGGAACGUACUUCUCGAACUUGUAGCCAC
rnacentral:misc_RNA from 1 species